rnacentral:rRNA from 1 species
CAUAUGCUUGUCUCAAAGAUUAAGCCAUGCAUGUCUAAGUAUAAGCACUUUAUACUGUGAAACUGCGAAUGGCUCAUUAAAUCAGUUAUCGUUUAUUUGAUAGUACCUUACUACAUGGAUACCUGUGGUAAUUCUAGAGCUAAUACAUGCUAAAAACCUCGACUUCGGAAGGGGUGUAUUUAUUAGAUAAAAAACCAAUGCCCUUCGGGGCUCCUUGGUGAUUCAUAAUAACUUAACGAAUCGCAUGGCCUUGCGCCGGCGAUGGUUCAUUCAAAUUUCUGCCCUAUCAACUUUCGAUGGUAGGAUAGUGGCCUACCAUGGUGGCAACGGGUAACGGGGAAUUAGGGUUCGAUUCCGGAGAGGGAGCCUGAGAAACGGCUACCACAUCCAAGGAAGGCAGCAGGCGCGCAAAUUACCCAAUCCCGACACGGGGAGGUAGUGACAAUAAAUACUGAUACGGGGCUCUUUUGGGUCUCGUAAUUGGAAUGAGUACAAUCUAAAUCCCUUAACGAGGAACAAUUGGAGGGCAAGUCUGGUGCCAGCAGCCGCGGUAAUUCCAGCUCCAAUAGCGUAUAUUAAAGUUGUUGCAGUUAAAAAGCUCGUAGUUGACCCUUGGGUCUGGCUGGCCGGUCCGCCUCACCGCGAGUACUGGUCCGGCUGGACCUUUCCUUCUGGGGAACCUCAUGGCCUUCACUGGCUGUGGGGGGAACCAGGACUUUUACUGUGAAAAAAUUAGAGUGUUCAAAGCAGGCCUUUGCUCGAAUACAUUAGCAUGGAAUAAUAGAAUAGGACGUGCGGUUCUAUUUUGUUGGUUUCUAGGACCGCCGUAAUGAUUAAUAGGGAUAGUCGGGGGCGUCAGUAUUCAGCUGUCAGAGGUGAAAUUCUUGGAUUUGCUGAAGACUAACUACUGCGAAAGCAUUCGCCAAGGAUGUUUUCAUUAAUCAGGGAACGAAAGUUAGGGGAUCGAAGACGAUCAGAUACCGUCGUAGUCUUAACCAUAAACUAUGCCGACUAGGGAUCGGGCGGUGUUUCUAUGAUGACCCGCUCGGCACCUUACGAGAAAUCAAAGUUUUUGGGUUCUGGGGGGAGUAUGGUCGCAAGGCUGAAACUUAAAGAAAUUGACGGAAGGGCACCACAAGGCGUGGAGCCUGCGGCUUAAUUUGACUCAACACGGGGAAACUCACCAGGUCCAGACAAAAUAAGGAUUGACAGAUUGAGAGCUCUUUCUUGAUCUUUUGGAUGGUGGUGCAUGGCCGUUCUUAGUUGGUGGAGUGAUUUGUCUGCUUAAUUGCGAUAACGAACGAGACCUCGGCCCUUAAAUAGCCCGGUCCGCGUUUGCGGGCCGCUGGCUUCUUAGGGGGACUAUCGGCUCAAGCCGAUGGAAGUGCGCGGCAAUAACAGGUCUGUGAUGCCCU